rnacentral:rRNA from 1 species
AACGAACGCUGGCGGCAGGCUUAACACAUGCAAGUCGAGCGCCCCGCAAGGGGAGCGGCAGACGGGUGAGUAACGCGUGGGAAUCUACCCAUCACUACGGAACAACUCCGGGAAACUGGAGCUAAUACCGUAUACGUCCUUCGGGAGAAAGAUUUAUCGGUGAUGGAUGAGCCCGCGUUGGAUUAGCUAGUUGGUGGGGUAAUGGCCUACCAAGGCGACGAUCCAUAGCUGGUCUGAGAGGAUGAUCAGCCACACUGGGACUGAGACACGGCCCAGACUCCUACGGGAGGCAGCAGUGGGGAAUAUUGGACAAUGGGCGAAAGCCUGAUCCAGCCAUGCCGCGUGAGUGAUGACGGCCCUAGGGUUGUAAAGCUCUUUCGCAGGUGAAGAUAAUGACGGUAACCUGAGAAGAAGCCCCGGCUAACUUCGUGCCAGCAGCCGCCGUAACAC